UAGUGGCAGACGGGUGAGUAAUGUAUAGGAAUCUACCUAGUAGUACGGAAUGAUUGUUGGAAACGGCAACUAAUACCGUAUACGCCCUACGGGGGAAAGAUUUAUUGCUAUUAGAUGAGCCUAUAUUAGAUUAGCUAGUUGGUAAGGUAAUGGCUUACCAAGGCAAUGAUCUAUAGCUGAUCUGAGAGGAUGAUCAGCCACACUGGAACUGAGAUACGGUCCAGACUCCUACGGGAGGCAGCAGUGGGGAAUAUUGGACAAUGGGCGAAAGCCUGAUCCAGCCAUGCCGCAUGAGUGAAGAAGGCCUUUGGGUUGUAAAGCUCUUUCGGUGAGGAAGAUAAUGACGGUACUCACAGAAGAAGUCCUGGCUAACUCCGUGCCAGCAGCCGCGGUAAUACGGAGAGGGCUAGCGUUAUUCGGAAUUAUUGGGCGUAAAGAGCGCGUAGGCUGGUUAGUAAGUUAAAAGUGAAAUCCCAAAGCUCAACUUUGGAAU
rnacentral:rRNA from 1 species